rnacentral:lncRNA from 1 species
AUGAAUGUCUCUCAGAUGGUUCAAGAGCCUCAGAAGUUCUUUUUGUGGAAUAUGAAAUAUUUUCUAAUUCUGUUUUCAACUGUCACAAGUUUAUCCACAUCCUUUUUGCAUUACAGAUACCAGACUUGGAGACAGCAUUUCAGUUACCUCUCCACUGUCAGCCUUGAAAGUGGUGCCAUCGCUCUCUUCCAGCACGAUAUUCCAAUACUGGAAGCUUUGGGAGCUGAUUAAGGAGAGCCCAGGCAUCUCUCUUAAAUGGAGAUAGGAGAAGGGAUGAGAAGUUUUGCAAACCCUUGGAUAAAGAAUAUGUAAAUGUCAUUGUCUUUAAUAGAGACAUCAUUUAUCCGACUUUAAAUGCACAGAACAUUGGAAAAAUAUGACUUUUACCUUCAUUUGCACUUUCCUACGGAUUAUAUUAGCGAUUAGAAAGCUUAGAAAUAUUUUGUUCCAUUGCUGUACUAAGGACUUGUUCUCAUUCACUCUUAAAAAUUCCUCUGUAAUUCUACUUCUCCAAAGGAUGGGCAGUCUGGGGAGACCCCUUUAUGUGGCUGUGACACUUGUGUCUUCAUUCUAAGUGCCUGGUGAUUCCCCCCAAAAAAUCCUUAAAUUCCCUACAUAGUCAUAAGUUAGGUGCUUUUGAAGAUCCCCAGGGGGAGAUCCAGUCCAUCUAAGAUGGAUUUUAAAAUUCAUCAAUGUCACUAAUUAAGUGCUUAAAUUUAGUGAAUUGGAGCUCUUUCUGGGCAUCUUCAAGAGCAUAUUCUUCCCUCUAUUGCUGAUUCACUUACUUAAGGAAGCAUGAUCCAGCAGAUACUUAAACAUUAGGCAUAACCAAACCCUGCGAAAUGAAAACAAGGCAGAAUUCUUCUCAUACUGUACAUCUGCGUUAUUCUUGUAUCUAUAGAGAGCAUGUCAAAUCAUAUUUAUGGCAUACUUCUGACCAUAUUCUCACAGCUUUUGCAUCAGUUCUAAGAUCUCCUUGGCUUUUCAAACAUCUCUUAUAAUUAUUUCAGUUUAUGCAAAAUUUCAUUCUUCUCAGGCCACAAGACCAGAUCAGGCAACAGGGAGUCCUUGAAUGCUGGGAGGUGUAAGUCUUUCUCAUGUGCAUCAGAGAGAAAACUCUAGGAACAGCAUACAAGAGCAGGAAGGAAUGAAAGAAAAUACUUGAUGGCACAGUAUUUAAUAAUAGCCACGCAGCAAGAUUUUCUAGUGAUACAUUAUUUCAGGGUAACCA